rnacentral:rRNA from 1 species
CCUACGGGUGGCUGCAGUGGGGAAUAUUGGACAAUGGGGGGAACCCUGAUCCAGCCAUGCCGCGUGUGUGAAGAAGGCCCUCGGGUUGUAAAGCACUUUCAGUGAGGAAGAACGCCUGGUGGUUAAUACCCAUCAGGAAAGACAUCACUCACAGAAGAAGCACCGGCUAACUCCGUGCCAGCAGCCGCGGUAAUACGGAGGGUGCGAGCGUUAAUCGGAAUUACUGGGCGUAAAGCGCGCGUAGGUGGCUUGAUAAGCCGGUUGUGAAAGCCCCGGGCUCAACCUGGGAACGGCAUCCGGAACUGUCAAGCUAGAGUGCAGGAGAGGAAGGUAGAAUUCCCGGUGUAGCGGUGAAAUGCGUAGAGAUCGGGAGGAAUACCAGUGGCGAAGGCGGCCUUCUGGACUGACACUGACACUGAGGUGCGAAAGUGUGGGUAGCAAACAGGAUUAGAUACCCGAGUAGUC